rnacentral:tRNA from 1 species
GAGGGUAUAGCUCAGUGGUAGAGUGCAUGCCUAGCAUGCAUGAGGUCCUGGGUUCAACACCCAGUACCUCCA